rnacentral:rRNA from 1 species
GAUGAACGCUGGCGGCGUGCCUAAUACAUGCAAGUCGAGCGAACAGACGAGGAGCUUGCUCCUCUGACGUUAGCGGCGGACGGGUGAGUAACACGUGGAUAACCUACCUAUAAGACUGGGAUAACUUCGGGAAACCGGAGCUAAUACCGGAUAAUAUAUUGAACCGCAUGGUUCAAUAGUGAAAGACGGUUUUGCUGUCACUUAUAGAUGGAUCCGCGCCGCAUUAGCUAGUUGGUAAGGUAACGGCUUACCAAGGCAACGAUGCGUAGCCGACCUGAGAGGGGGAUCGGCCACACUGGAACUGAGACACGGUCCAGACUCCUACGGGAGGCAGCAGUAGGGAAUCUUCCGCAAUGGGCGAAAGCCUGACGGAGCAACGCCGCGUGAGUGAUGAAGGUCUUCGGAUCGUAAAACUCUGUUAUUAGGGAAGAACAAAUGUGUAAGUAACUAUGCACGUAUUGACGGUACCUAAUCAGAAAGCCACGGCUAACUACGUG